AAGUCGUAACAAGGUAACCGUAGGUGAACCUGCGGUUGAAUCAUUAACAAAUUUUAAACUGAUUACUUCUUUGGCAUUUCCACCUCAAAAAUGGAUUUGUAAAAGUUUUAAUCUUUUAACAACCUUUGUGAAUUGUUUAUUGUCUCUUGGUGGGUUAAAAUUGUGAAGUUUUUACUGGAGGGAAAAAAAAUUAGUGGGAACACUUUUCUUUUUGAACUCUUUUUUAUUCUGAUCAAGAGAAAAAAUUUUAUUUUUUCCCACUCACCAAUAAAAAAUUUGAACUUUAUAAUAAAAAUAACAAGUCUUGAAUUAAAUUAUAUUCUAAUUUAAACAACUUUUGACAACGGAUCUCUAGGUUCUC
rnacentral:misc_RNA from 1 species